GAACGCUAGCUACAGGCUUAACACAUGCAAGUCGAGGGGCAGCAUGGUCUUAGCUUGCUAAGGCCGAUGGCGACCGGCGCACGGGUGAGUAACACGUAUCCAACCUGCCGUCUACUCUUGGACAGCCUUCUGAAAGGAAGAUUAAUACAAGAUGGCAUCAUGAGUCCGCAUGUUCACAUGAUUAAAGGUAUUCCGGUAGACGAUGGGGAUGCGUUCCAUUAGAUAGUAGGCGGGGUAACGGCCCACCUAGUCUUCGAUGGAUAGGGGUUCUGAGAGGAAGGUCCCCCACAUUGGAACUGAGACACGGUCCAAACUCCUACGGGAGGCAGCAGUGAGGAAUAUUGGUCAAUGGGCGAGAGCCUGAACCAGCCAAGUAGCGUGAAGGAUGACUGCCCUAUGGGUUGUAAACUUCUUUUAUAAAGGAAUAAAGUCGGGUAUGGAUACCCGUUUGCAUGUACUUUAUGAAUAAGGAUCGGCUAACUCCGUGCCAGCAGCCGCGGUAAUACGGAGGAUCCGAGCGUUAUCCGGAUUUAUUGGGUUUAAAGGGAGCGUAGAUGGAUGUUUAAGUCAGUUGUGAAAGUUUGCGGCUCAACCGUAAAAUUGCAGUUGAUACUGGAUAUCUUGAGUGCAGUUGAGGCAGGCGGAAUUCGUGGUGUAGCGGUGAAAUGCUUAGAUAUCACGAAGAACUCCGAUUGCGAAGGCAGCCUGCUAAGCUGCAACUGACAUUGAGGCUCGAAAGUGUGGGUAUCAAACAGGAUUAGAUACCCUGGUAGUCCACACGGUAAACGAUGAAUACUCGCUGUUUGCGAUAUACAGCAAGCGGCCAAGCGAAAGCGUUAAGUAUUCCACCUGGGGAGUACGCCGGCAACGGUGAAACUCAAAAGAAUUGACGGGGGCCCGCACAAGCGGAGGAACAUGUGGUUUAAUUCGAUGAUACGCGAGGAACCUUACCCGGGCUUAAAUUGCAGAUGAAUUACGGUGAAAGCCGUAAGCCGCAAGGCAUCUGUGAAGGUGCUGCAUGGUUGUCGUCAGCUCGUGCCGUGAGGUGUCGGCUUAAGUGCCAUAACGAGCGCAACCCUUGUUGUCAGUUACUAACAGGUUCCGCUGAGGACUCUGACAAGACUGCCAUCGUAAGAUGUGAGGAAGGUGGGGAUGACGUCAAAUCAGCACGGCCCUUACGUCCGGGGCUACACACGUGUUACAAUGGGGGGUACAGAGGGCCGCUACCACGCGAGUGGAUGCCAAUCCCCAAAACCUCUCUCAGUUCGGACUGGAGUCUGCAACCCGACUCCACGAAGCUGGAUUCGCUAGUAAUCGCGCAUCAGCCACGGCGCGGUGAAUACGUUCCCGGGCCUUGUACACACCGCCCGUCAAGCCAUGGGAGCCGGGGGUACCUGAAGUGCGUAACCGCGAGGAGCGCCCUAGGGUAAAACUGGUGACUGGGGCUA
rnacentral:rRNA from 1 species